ACGUAUGGGGCGAGCGUUGUUCGGAAUUAUUGGGCGUAAAGGGCGUCUAGGCGGGGAUUUAAGUUAGGUGUGAAAGCUAUGGGCUCAACCCAUAAACUGCAUCUAAAACUGAAUCUCUUGAGUUCGGGAGAGGAGAGCGGAAUUCCAGGUAUAGCGGUGAAAUGCGUAAAUAUCUGGAAGAAAGCCAGUGGCGAAGGCGGGCCUCUAGCAUAGAACUGACGCUGAGUCGCGAAAGCGUGGGGAGCGGAGGG
rnacentral:rRNA from 1 species